GUACAUGUUUAUAGCAUAGUGUUGAUGCACUACAUUCCAAUAGAACUCUAUAGUUAAGCACACUCGGGCUAGAGUAGUAUUGGGAUGGGUGACUUCCUGGCAAGUCCUAUUGUUUUAUAUGCC
rfam:Picea glauca, whole genome shotgun sequence.